UUAAAACUGGAUGCUCAAGUCCAUGUACUGGGUGAGUACAAUGAAGACCUUUCAGCUCAGUUGAGGAAGGAGCCAAUGGAAGGAUUGGAGGAAGAAGAAGAUUUGCAAUUGGAAUCGAAAUCAAUGGAACCAAUAACAGAUAUUGUGGCAAUUGAUUAAUUAGGUGGGCCAGAGGAACUAGUUACUUUAUAGAAUUUUGUUAGAUAAUUUUUAGAUAGGUAUCAAUUGAGUGUAUGCGAGGACACUACACAGAUAGGAGUGGGGCUAUGUAGAAUAGAUAUUAAUUUGUUUUUGAAAGAUAUUGAUAAAAUAUAUUAAUAGUCCAUAUAAUAGGAAAUUCAGGAGAACGGAUGAGUGAUUUAGUUAUUAAAAGCUAUUAAUUACAGAAUUACGGUUAGAAUCUAGAGAAUCAAGGAAAAAUAUAUAGAAGUUGUAGAAGUUAAUUAAGGUGCCAUCAUUGUGAUAGUUGUGAGCCGGGAUAAGCUUAGUGCUACCUCUUUUCUUUUGUUUGUUAUUUUCUUUGAAUAAGAAGAUUGAAAGUUUUUGAAUAUUGUGAAGUGAAUUAUGGAAUAGAAAUGUGAUUGGUAUUAUUUGAGAAGAAGAAAGAUUGAAUGCUGAAAUCUGAUUGUAGUUCAGCAGAGAGAAUGAGUCUGUGUUUGUGUGAAACAACCGUAAUGUGAAUGGCAGUUCUGUGUGAAGAAUUCCAGUGAUUGGAAUGAGGGUAAUUGUGUGCUGAAAGUUGUGAUGGCACAAUAUUACAGUUGGAGAUUAUGAAGGUGAAUAUAUUGGUGGAAAUAGCAAUUAUUGGUAUGACUAAAUUGCUGUAAGGAAGAGACC
rnacentral:lncRNA from 1 species